UGGGGAAUAUUGGACAAUGGGCGCAAGCCUGAUCCAGCAAUGCCGCGUGUGUGAAGAAGGCCUGCGGGUUGUAAAGCACUUUCAGUAGAGAAGAAAAGCUUAGGGUUAAUACCCCUUGAGUCUUGACGUUACCUACAGAAGAAGCACCGGCUAACUCCGUGCCAGCAGCCGCGGUAAUACGGAGGGUGCAAGCGUUAAUCGGAAUUACUGGGCGUAAAGCGCAUGCAGGUGGUUUGUUAAGUCAGAUGUGAAAGCCCGGGGCUCAACCUCGGAAUAGCAUUUGAAACUGGCAGACUAGAGUACUGUAGAGGGGGGUAGAAUUUCAGGUGUAGCGGUGAAAUGCGUAGAGAUCUGAAGGAAUACCGGUGGCGAAGGCGGCCCCCUGGACAGAUACUGACACUCAGAUGCGAAAGCGUGGGGAGCAAACAGGAUUAGAUACCCCCGUAGUCC
rnacentral:rRNA from 1 species